GCCCUUUGCCUCUUCCCAUUCUUUCUCCAUCUUCGUCACUUUCCAGCUUCCCCGUUCAGUUGUAACUUCAGCUUCCCCGUCCACCAAUCACUUCAACUUCCCCUCUCACACCCUAUAUAUAUGCCCAUGUAGUCAUCCUAAACCCUAAUACUGCUCAAAUCUUAAGCAACACUCUCGGGAAUCUUUCUUAAUUUUUUUCUUCCUGGAGCUUCAGACAGAACUCGCCAUCACCAAAUUUGAGAGGAUUAUGACGCACUGAUGUAAUGAUUGUAGAUUAUGCAUGCUCUUUUUAAUAGGUUCUUCUGGAUCAAGCUAAAGACGAGACAUGACUGGAAACAGCUCCAGACGCUCAUGACUGGCUUAAGUUCAAGUUUCAAGACACUGCCCCAGUUAGCUAAACCACCAAGUUUUCAGAUAUUCAGAGUUAAAAAUGACAUGAAGUUCUCAUCAACCGAGGCUUGCAAACAUAUUCAACCAUCAUGCCAGAGACGAAGCUGGUGAAGACACGGCUACUAAUACUAAUCAGCCUGCAAUCAGAAAAGUAAUUGGAGGUGCAUGAUAAGUACAUGGUCUAUGUCAUUAAGUCUAUUGAGAAUCAAACCAUCUUUGACAAGUCAUUGGGUAAAGCAUUUAAGGUUUUCAGAAAUAGAGCAGUUGGAAGCGCUUUAAGUGUUGAAUCGCUCACAACCUUUUGCAACAUAAUUACUAUCCUCAAGAAUUGGGGGCAUGUGAGGAGCUGAGUGAUCAAGCUAUUAAGAAGGUGAUCAAUAUUUUUCUUAUAUAAGUGAUGCAAAUGAUAAUUUUGUAGUGUUUUACAGGAAGAAGCUGGCAUGUAAAGGUCUUACAGUUGGUUAAGAUGACUGUUUAACACUUAAAGCUCUACAAAAUUACUUAGAAACAGCAGAUUGGUUCCAGGAAUUGUCUUUAGGUUCGGAUGCAAGUGAAGUAGUACCUAGGAACCAUAAUAAGGGUUCUCUUCAGCAGCAGUAUGGACAUGUACCUUCUGGUCCAUCGUCUCAUGGAAGCGAAAGAAGGCCUAAUCUUAAUGCUGGAAACCUGCCAAAUGGUGGAGACCCGUGGGGCUACUUCCCACCAAACCAUCCUUCUGGUGGCUACCAGGAUCAGAGUUUUGGUUAUGGCCACAACAGCAAUUCGAAUUCCUUUUCACAUCUCAUGAAUCCACAUAGUUCACAAGAAGCACUAAGUUUUGACCAGUUUGGAUAUAAUGAUCAUCUAUACUCAAACCAAGGAUUGUAUGGUCUAAAUUUUAUAUGAGCAGCUCAAUUUAAUGUCAUACAUAGGUUUUGUUGUACCUAUGUAUGAGUUUUAUAAUUCAUAUAUUGUGCCUAAUUGUCCGCAAUAACGUUACGUCACUAUGGAGAUGGUUGGUGAACAUCUAGGUAAAAUGUUCUAACUAAUUCUUUUGUUCAUUUAAAUUUUGAAAAGAAAACCGUCUGCUUUUAACAUUUGGUUUUA